rnacentral:rRNA from 1 species
UGGGCCCGCGGCCUAUCAGCUUGUUGGUGGGGUAAUGGCCUACCAAGGCGACGACGGGUAGCCGGCCUGAGAGGGUGACCGGCCACACUGGGACUGAGAUACGGCCCAGACUCCUACGGGAGGCAGCAGUGGGGAAUAUUGCACAAUGGGCGCAAGCCUGAUGCAGCGACGCCGCGUGAGGGAUGACGGCCUUCGGGUUGUAAACCUCUUUCAAUAGGGACGAAGCGCAAGUGACGGUACCUAUAGAAGAAGGACCGGCCAACUACGUGCCAGCAGCCGCGGUAAUACGUAGGGUCCGAGCGUUGUCCGGAAUUACUGGGCGUAAAGAGCUCGUAGGUGGUUUGUCGCGUUGUUCGUGAAAACUCACAGCUUAACUGUGGGCGUGCGGGCGAUACGGGCAGACUAGAGUACUGCAGGGGAGACUGGAAUUCCUGGUGUAGCGGUGGAAUGCGCAGAUAUCAGGAGGAACACCGGUGGCGAAGGCGGGUCUCUGGGCAGUAACUGACGCUGAGGAGCGAAAGCGUGGGGAGCGAACAGGAUUAGAUACCCUGGUAGUCCACGCCGUAAACGGUGGGUACUAGGUGUGGGUUUCCUUCCUUGGGAUCCGUGCCGUAGCUAACGCAUUAAGUACCCCGCCUGGGGAGUACGGCCGCAAGGCUAAAACUC